UACAUAUGUCCCGAGUGUUACCCGGAAUAAUUGGGUGUAAAGGGUCCGUAGGCGGACUGAAAAGUUGGAUAUGAAAGACCGAGGCUCAACCUCGUGUUCGUGUUCAAAACUCUCAGUCUAGAAUUAGGGAGAGGUAAGCGGAAUUCUAAGUGUAGGGGUGCAAUCCGUAGAUACUUAGAGGAACACCGAAAGCGAAGGCAGCUUACUGGAACUAUAUUGACGCUGAGGGACGAAAGCGUGGGUAGCGAAAAGG
rnacentral:rRNA from 1 species